rnacentral:sRNA from 12 species
GAUUUUGGUCGUAGGGCGCGACUAACGGAAUCAAAAGAAAGCCCACUGAGA